rfam:Clostridium sp. C105KSO13 isolate C105KSO131 genome assembly, contig: {contig161}
CCGUGCAGCCGGGGUGCUAGCGGUACCUUGUACCUGCAAUCCGCUAUAGCAGGGGUGAUAUUGCGCAGAGGGUGCUGAUUUACAAAGCUGCCCUUGGAAAGUGGCGUUGAGAUUCGGGUCUUACGCGACGGAAAUCUGUGAACCGUGUCAGAUCGGGAACGAAGCAGCACUAAGCAGAAUCUUCCGGGUGCCGUGAGGGUGCCUGCGUUGAGUUAACUUCCAAGGUAACGUUUGUGGAGACGCAUUCGAAGCGUAAUGCACGG